UGUAAAUGGAGGUUACAGGAGCAGCAGAUGCACAUGCAUAAGACUUGUUUAUCCUAAUUAUAAGACGAGGACUGAGAGGUCAGGGCUGGAACAGACGGGGGGUUCCAGCUAUAAAAGUUUGUUCCAGAGGAGGAAACACGGCUGACUCGGUAAAAGUGCAGCUCUGAACAGAUGAACAACGAGCGCUACCCUCAGUUAAUGACUUGUUAUGACAGGAAGUUUCUUCUGAAGUCCUGACUUCAGCGAACUCGUUUUGACGGGAACGACGGCGGGACGCGAAGGAGCGUUUCCUGUCAUCUUCCUCCCGUUCCAGGGCGCAUGUUCAAAACCAGCUAAAGCCAUAAGACGCGAUUCUGGUCAAUCUAUGAAAUGGAGAAAUGCUGUCUGAAAAAUAAGCUCUGUUGUUGCUGCAGACUCAACUGGGAACAAUUAUUCUUUAAAAGCAUCACUUGUAUCAGUCAGCUCACUGAAAAUGGGCAGAAUUGAUAUGGGAUGCAUUUCUAUGUAAUUUAAAGUUUGGGUUAUUACUUGAAGCACUGAUGAACCAUCAGGAGCAUCUCCUUUAAUGCCUCGGAUUAAAGCAGCCCUCUGUUUGACAUGUGGACAGAAGCUCCUCUCUCUGCUGAGCCACCACCAUCCUCUUCUUUUUAAAGCAUGACUCAUCGCUGCUCUCGGCUUCUCACUUUAAUCCACUAACGACCCCGAGCUUCCCUUUAGUCACUUUUUGCCUUCAUCUCAUUCGUUGCUCUUAAUUGCCUCCCUGUAACGGCCUCUUUCUGUUCCUCUGUGCACGAAAGAGUGAGUAGAUCUGCACUGUAGAGAGCUAUUCUCAGAAAGGUCUUUGAUAAUUUAAGUGUGUGUCUGUGUGCGUGCGCAUUA